GACGAACGCUGGCGGCGUGCUUAACACAUGCAAGUCGAACGAUGACGACCGAGCUUUCCUGGUCUGAUUAGUGGCGCACGGGUGAGUAACACGCGAGCAACCUGCCCCUCACUCUGGGAUAACCCCGGGAAAUCGGGGCUAAUACCGCAUAUGAGCUCCUGUCGCAUGGCGGGUGUUGGAAAGUUUUUCGGUGGAGGAUGGGCUUGCGGCCUAUCAGUUUGUUGGUGAGGUAGUGGCACACCAAGGCGAUGACGGGUAGCCGGCCUGAGAGGGCGACCGGCCACAAUGGGACUGAGACACGGCCCAGACUCCUACGGGAGGCAGCAGUGGGGAGUAUUGCACAAUGGGCGAAAGCCUGAUGCAGCGACGCCGCGUGAGGGAUGACGGCCUUCGGGUUGUAAACCUCUUUCAGAAGGGAAGAAGCGAAAGUGACGGUACCUGCAGAAGAAGCGCCGGCUAACUACGUG
rnacentral:rRNA from 1 species